UACAGAGGUCCCAAGCGUUGUUCGGAUUCAUUGGGCGUAAAGGGUGCGUAGGCGGUGACGUAAGUUGGAUGUGAAAUCCCGGGGCUCAACCCCGGAACUGCAUUCAAUACUGCGUUGCUAGAGUACUGGAGAGGAGAUUGGAAUUCACGGUGUAGCAGUGAAAUGCGUAGAUAUCGUGAGGAAGACCAGUGGCGAAGGCGAAUCUCUGGACAGUUACUGACGCUGAGGCACGAAGGCCAGGGGAGCAAACGGG
rnacentral:rRNA from 1 species